UGUGGUGGCGAUAGCAAGAAGGAUACACCUGUUCCCAUGCCGAACACAGAAGUUAAGCUUCUUCACGCCGAGAGUAG
rnacentral:rRNA from 2 species